UACGGGGGGGGCAAGCGUUGUUCGGAAUUACUGGGCGUAAAGGGUUCGUAGGUGGCCAACUAAGUCAGACGUGAAAUCCCUCAGCUCAACUGGGGAACUGCGUCUGAUACUGAUUGGCUUGAGUGCAGGAGAGGAGCGCGGAAUUCCAGGUGUAGCGGUGAAAUGCGUAGAUAUCUGGAGGAACACCGGUGGCGAAGGCGGCGUUCUGGACUGCAACUGACACUGAGGAACGAAAGCCAGGGGAGCAAACAGG
rnacentral:rRNA from 1 species